ensembl:miRNA Gm44303 predicted gene, 44303
CAUGUAUGUGUAAGUGCAUGUGUGUAUGUGUGAAUAUAUACUCAUAUACACACACAUACACACACACACAGGCACACCACAUA